rnacentral:tRNA from 1 species
GGAGAGGUGGCUGAGUGGUUGAUAGCUCCGGUCUUGAAAACCGGUAUAGUCAAGAUAACUAUCGAGGGUUCGAAUCCCUCUCUCUCCU